AGCGCAGUCACGCGGGGGCGCCACUAGGAGGUACCUUCCCCGCCCGGGACCUCGGAAGCUCCCAGGCUCCUCCCACUUCGCUCUUUGUUCCCGCCCUCGCUCCGCCUCUCCCCUGAUGCGAUCGCAACUGCACCUCUCGCGAUACCUUAGCGGAGUUGUGAUGUUUUGGUUUCCAUGGAGCUGCCGUCUGGGAGUAGGAGGGGUGCGGUUGCGCCAAGAGCUGCGCAUUGUUGAACUAGAACUCGAGCAAGAUCCCGAGCCUGAGAAAGGUGGGGGGCUUGUGAGAGAACUCCACCAUCAUCUGGACAGGAGGGGCCCGCACUAGGGAGGGAGAGGAGGAAACCAUGAGAAACAACGUAAAAGGGGUGCCCUCUGUCUGAGAUCCCUAAAAAGAGGGGGGGACUGUAGGAUCGUUGACCUCCAGAGAGAAAGGGGGAAGCCCCAGAAACAGGAUCCCUGUGUUGAGAAAGAGGGAUGCUAGAGUGAUGACAGCCGCUCCGGGACGAAGUAGAAGAAUACUAAGGCGAGGCUCUCCACCCCUUACAGUCUUUCCGCUCUGGUGGCCUCCCUCAGAGUGCGAUGCAGUUGGCCCAAGGCCUGCUUCCUACUUUGUGUUCCCAGUUGCAACCCCAGCUUCUCUUGCAGACAACCAGCUGGGCUUUCCCGGCUGCCCCUGCCCCCUCCCACCCCCACCCCACCCCCCAAGGCAAGCCACACCCUCCUGGCUACUCUGCCUCUCUUCAGCUUUCAGCUUGGCACACAUAGGGGCUGCCCAAGGAAUUAUGAACUUCUUGUUCUUGAGACUUUGGCAAAACUUCCUGCAAUACUGACCUUUCCAAGCGCCUGCCCCGUAGAUGCUCCUGGGCUUAGAUUAUUUUUGGUUCUGCCAACCACCUAUACAGUACUAAUUGCAGUUUCCCUUCAACGUGCAUUUUUUUAACAAUUGAGGACGCACUUAGAGUUUCUAAAUCCCUGGCCCAACAAAAUUUACUGUCUCUGAAACCCAAAUCCAGCCCCUUUCUUGGGGGGGCUGCCCAAAGAUGCGUGUUAAUCAAAGGUUUAGGCUCUGGGGUCAGAAAACUAAGUAUGGUUCAAAAUCCCUGUCCCACAUUAUUUACUAGUUAUAUAACGUUGGACUUACCACUGAACUUCUCAGGGCCUCACGUUCCUCAGUUGUACAACCAGGUCAUUGUGAGGAUCAAAAACAGUACCUGGAAGGCUCUGCUAUUCCCUGAGACACAGGAAACAAUAUUGGAACUAGGCCAAUUUAUAACCCUACAAUGGCCUCUAAGUGUCCAAGUGAAAGGAAGAGCCAAAUGUCUCUCGCUUUAAAUCAAAAGCUAGAAAUGAUUGAGCUCAGUGAGGAAGGCUUGCCAACGGCUGAGAUGGGCCGAAAGCUAGGCCUGUUGUGCCAGUUAGCCAAGUCGUGAAUGCAAAGGAAAAGUUGUCGAAGGAAAUUGAAAAGUGCUACUCCAGUGAGCACAUGAAUAAGAAGAAGGCAAAAUAGCCUUAUUGCGGAUAUGGAGAAAGUUUGAGUGGUCUAGAGAGGAGAUCAAACCCGCCGCGACAUUCCCUUAAGCCAGAGCCUAAUCCAGAGCAAGGCCCUGGCUCUCUUCAUUUCUAUGAAGGCUGAGAGAGGGGAGGAAGCUGCAGAAGGAAAGUCUGAAGCUGGUAAAGGUUGGUUUAUGAGGUUUAGGGAAUGACGCCAUCUCCAUAGCAUUGAAGUGCGAGGUGAGGCAGCAAGUGCUGAUGUAGAAGCUGCAGCAAGCCUUCCAGAAGAUCUAGCCAUGGUAACUGAUGAAGGUGGCUCCGCUGAACAACGGAUUUGCAACGUAGAUGAAACAGCCUCCUAUUGGCAGAAGAUGGCAUCUAGGACUUUCAUAGCUAGAGAGGAAAAGUCAAUGAUCAGCUUUGAAGCUUCAAAGGACAGGCUGACUCUCUUGUUAGGGGCUAAUGCAGCUGGUGACUUGCAGUUGAAGCCAAUGCUCAUUUUUGUUCCAAAAAUCCUUGAAAACUAUGCCAAA